rnacentral:rRNA from 1 species
UAGGGAAUAUUGGUCAAUGGGCGAGAGCCUGAACCAGCCAUGCCGCGUGCAGGAAGACGGCCUUCUGGGUUGUAAACUGCUUUUAUAUGGGAAGAAAAGGGUUCUGCGGGACCGAUUGCCGGUACCAUAUGAAUAAGCACCGGCUAACUCCGUGCCAGCAGCCGCGGUAAUACGGAGGGUGCAAGCGUUGUCCGGAUUUAUUGGGUUUAAAGGGUGCGUAGGCGGGCCUUUAAGUCAGUGGUGAAAGCCUGCAGCUUAACUGUAGAACUGCCAUUGAUACUGGGGGCCUUGAGUACAGAUAAGGUAGGCGGAAUUGAUGAUGUAGCGGUGAAAUGCAUAGAUAUCAUCAGGAACUCCGAUUGCGAAGGCAGCUUACUGGUCUGUAACUGACGCUGAGGCACGAAAGCGUGGGGAGCGAACAGGAUUAGAUACCCCCGUAGUCC